rnacentral:rRNA from 1 species
UACGAAGGGGGCUAGCGUUGUUCGGAAUUACUGGGCGUAAAGCGCGCGCAGGCGGUCUUCCAAGUCAGUGGUGAAAGCCUGGAGCUCAACUCCAGAACUGCCAUUGAAACUGUUAGACUUGAGUACGAGAGAGGUGAGUGGAAUUCCCAGUGUAGAGGUGAAAUUCGUAGAUAUUGGGAAGAACACCAGUGGCGAAGGCGGCUCACUGGCUCGUAACUGACGCUCAGGCGCGACAGCGUGGGGGAUCAAAACAGG